CCGCCUUUAGCGAUUGUUUUUGGCCGGUUUUGACUAAUUUCCUCGCCCCCAUUAGACCCCCAUACCUCCCACCACAACCUCUCCCGAGCCAACUAGCGUCUUCUGACCUACCCUCACCCCCACCUUCUCUCACAACUGACCUUGACUCUCAGGUCCAGACGCCCUGACCCCUCACCCGACCCCACGGACACGCGCCACGGGCCCCCUCCCCAGGACUCCUCCCUUAACGACCCCAGUCCUCUGACCUCUGUGCCCUGGAUCCCCAACCACAGCUACUGCAACACCGGGCUCGGCUGACCAGCCCCCUGCCCCCCGCAGGCACCGGCGAGACGCCCACGCUCAGCACGCUGGACUUCUACAUGACGCAGCUGCACGGAGCCAUCGAGCGGGACCCCGCCCAGCACGAGAAGCUCGUGGUCCGCAUCAAGGAGAUCCUGGCCCAGGUUGCCAGUGAGCACCUAUGAAGGUGUUGGUCAGCUCGUGGGGAUCCAGCGAAGACCAAGCUCUGCUGGUGGCCCCCACCCCAUGGAGGAGGGAUGGGGGUCCACCCAUUGGGCCAGGCCCAAUCCUGCACCUUGGGAGCUCCAUUACUCUACAUCCCCUAGCUUUCAACCUCCCCAGCACCCCAAAUCCAGAAAAGUCACCUGCCAUGCACAACACACUUAGAACCCCGUGGCCUCAUAGAGCAUGUCAUACUACAGGGAUGUGGGAACACCACACAUGGGCAGCAUGACCCAGGACACAAGGGGACCAACAGCAGCUCUCCACACUGGUGUAGGGAGGGUGACACAGGCUACAGUGGCUCUAGGGAUCUGCCCCAGGACACAGGGCAGUGGAAACCCAUACCUGACACAGGGAGGGACUCCCCGAAGGUGCUCACCACAAGUGCCCCACGCAAGCAGGCACACUGCAGGACAUGCUCUCAUGCUUGGGGGAGAGCCUUCUGCCUGUGGCCCUCGACUUCCUGCACCUCCGAAUGGAGUAACUGGGACUGACCCCUGCCCUCGUUCAGCUAACCAACCGUCAUGAAGGUGGCCCCUUGGCCACUGCUUAAUCUGGACUUUUAAAUUAAAAAAAAUAAUAAAGUGGAAUUUGAAUUUCAA